CGCGUAGGCGGCUUGGCAAGUCAGAUGUGAAAGCCCCGGGCUUAACCCGGGAAUUGCAUCUGAAACUGCUUUGCUUGAGUCCUGGAAGGGGUAGUGGAAUUCCCAGUGUAGCGGUGAAAUGCGUAGAUAUUGGGAGGAACACCUGCGGCGAAGGCGGCUACCUGGACAGUGACUGACGCUGAGGCGCGAAAGCUAGGGGAGCGAACG
rnacentral:rRNA from 1 species